GGACGACGCUGGCGGCGUGCCUAAUACAUGCAAGUCGAGCGCGGGAAGCGGACAAUCACCCUUCGGGGUGUGCGUCCGUGGAACGAGCGGCGGAUGGGUGAGUAUCACGUGGGCAACCUGCCUGUAAGAUUGGGAUAACUCGCGGAAACGUGAGCUAAUACCGAAUGAAGUCUUUCGCCGCCUGGUGAAAGGAUGAAAGAUGGCUCUUGAGCUAUCGCUUACAGAUGGGCCCGCGGCGCAUUAGCUAGUUGGUGGGGUAAAGGCCUACCAAGGCGACGAUGCGUAGCCGACCUGAGAGGGUGAUCGGCCACACUGGGACUGAGACACGGCCCAGACUCCUACGGGAGGCAGCAGUAGGGAAUCUUCCGCAAUGGACGAAAGUCUGACGGAGCAACGCCGCGUGAAAUGAUGAAGGUCUUCGGAUCGUAAAACUCUGUUGUCAGGGAAGAACAAGUUGUGUUCUAACAGGACAUGACCUUGACGGUACCUGACCAGAAAGCCCCGGCUAACUACGUGCCAGCCGCCGC
rnacentral:rRNA from 1 species